rnacentral:rRNA from 1 species
UGGAUAACUGUGGUAAUUCUAGAGCUAAUACAUGCAAACAGAGCUCCGACCGGAGACGGAAGGAGUGCUUUUAUUAGAUCAAAACCAAUCGGUGGCGGGCUUGCUCGUCAUCGUACAACUUGGUGACUCUGAAUAACUUUACGCUGAUCGCACGGUCUUCGCACCGGCGACGCAUCUUUCAAAUGUCUGCCUUAUCAACUGUCGAUGGUAGGUUCUGCGCCUACCAUGGUUGUAACGGGUAACGGGGAAUCAGGGUUCGAUUCCGGAGAGGGAGCCUGARAAACGGCUACCACAUCCAAGGAAGGCAGCAGGCGCGCAAAUUACCCACUCCCGGCACGGGGAGGUAGUGACAAAAAAUAACGAUACGGGACUCAUCCGAGGCCCCGUAAUCGGAAUGARUACACUCUAAACCCUUU